rnacentral:lncRNA from 1 species
UAAAUUUUACAUUGUUCGUCAAUACAAAUGAAAAAAAACUAAACACUAGAGUCCAUGAAUGUCACCUUCCAUGAAAUGAAUCAAAUCUAAAAAAAUGGAGUAAUUAAGAAAGUUAGAAGAAGAAGAAGAAAAGACUAACUAAUGCACAACCUGUCGCCAUAUAAAGCUAAGACAUUUUCUACAAGCAUCACUUCUACGAGUAGAAUCCUAACUACAAGAGCAUCAAGGAGCAAUAGGUCUAUAGGAACCACACAAUUUACCAUACAAGCAUCACUUAGACCAUACCAUGUCAAGGAAGGAAACAAAACAUGAUACAAGGACAUUAUAAACAAAAGUGUAGCUUCAAGUAUCUUUUGGCUGUUUUUUUGGCACACAUAUCUUAUCAAAUAGACCAACCAAUCAUAUAUUAAUACCAAAAAAUAAACAGAAGUGUUGCGGCAAGUAGUGCAGUAGGACUAUUCAGUUCAACAUGAUUUUAGUAGCUGAAACUUAGAAGUUUAGUUAACCACUUAGAGCACUAACUGAAGUAGGAAUCAUAUCAACUAGCACCAAAAAGCGCGGCGACACGCCGCGCCCGUAGAGGCAACGGUAGAUCGAUAAUGAUAAAGGGAUGGUCAAAUACAAUGGUUACAAUACUAAUUUUGGAAGGCAAAUUACAGUGCAAGAGUUUGUAGUAGUCUGCUAGAUGGCAAAUGCUAAAGCGG